GAUUUUUAUACGACCGCAAAAAAUUUUUGCGGUCGUAUAUUGGUAUGACGUUGGCGUCGUCGUCGUCGUUGUCGUCGUCGUCCGGCGUCCUCCGAAGACACAUUGGUUUUCGCACUCUAACUUUAGUUUAAGUGAAUGGAUCUCUAUGAAAUUUUACCAUAAGGUUCAAUACCACAAAAGGAAGGUUGGGAUUGAUUUUGGGGGUUAUGGUACUAACAGUUAAGGAAUUAGGGGCCAAAAAGGGGCCAAAAAUAAGCAUUUUUGUAACUUCCAGACAUAACUUGUGUGUUAGUGUAUGGAUCUCUCUGACAUUGUACCACAAGGUUCCAUAUCACAUAGGGAAUGCUGGGAUUGAUUUUGGGGGUAAUUGCCUCAAAAUAUUAGGAAUUAGGGGCCCAAAAA